rnacentral:lncRNA from 1 species
AUGGAGCUGGUUCCUUCUGCUCGUCAGCUAAACGAGCCCCUGUGCGUGCAGGGGUGCGGUGGUGGGAGGCUUGGGGCCUCCAGCACUGCUGGGAAGCGUUACGGGAGCCCACGGGGCUGGGGCCGGGGCAGGACAGCCCCGUGGUUUUACCUCCUGCUCCCUUCCUCUCCCCAACCCUUUCCACACGAUGGUUUCCUGACUUCUCUGUGGCUGCCUCACACCAUCCUGCUGCUUCAGACCCCCAAGACCCCCUCCUGCACCACGGGAGCGAGCGGGGACACAGCUCCCACCAGGGGACCCCAUCCCAGGGCUGCGUCCCCGGGGUCCCCGUCCCUUCCCCACCCCAACACUGAGGUCACGGCGCUGGGGAGCAGCUGCCCAGGCCCUCCCUGGUGCCACAGGAGGGUGGGGGGCUCCACGCUGGAGCUUUGGGGGGGUUUGGAAAUGGCUUGGUGCUGCCUGGGCUGGCCCCAACCCCAUUUGGGGGAUCCCUUGCGCCCCAGUGGGGUUUUCUCCUGCAGGAAGAGCCGCAGCACCCAGCACCCCUCCUGCCCCCCGGAGCUGGGGGUCGCUGCGGGUGCAGGGACCUGGGGAGGAGCUGGGGGCUGCAGCAUCCCGGUGAGCCCCCUCCUGGAGCCACAGCUCUGCCAGGAGCUGGUUGCCUACACCCUGGAGCUGCCGCUGUGGAGGGGAGAUGUCACCCGGGUCCCCUGCAAGGUGAGGCGAUGCCACCCCAGCACACGGCAUCCCGUGAGCCUGGCCACGGUGGAUUUGGGGCCCUGGGCAUCUCCGCAUUGCCAGGGGGGUGGCAGCUGUGGGGCCGGUGGCAAGAAGCGGGGCAGGAGGAGCCCCCCACAGGGUGCCAGGGAUGCGGCGUGGCCCAGCACCGCGGUGCUCAGCGCUUUGACUUCCUUCCCCGCGCGGAGCCGAUUUCCUCCAGCGUCACGUGCGCGGCGCGGGGCCAGGGUGGCCGGGGGGAGCCUGGCACGGCGCCGAGCGGCACGGCCUGGGGGGCAGCCCCGUGCCAGCAGCCUGAGCCAGCGAGGGACCGGCCUGGCCACCAGCAGCAGCACAGGGCGAGGAUGGAGCCGCCCAAGCCGCCCCCGAGCAAGAGGAUGGCUCCUGCGCCCCCCGUCCCGGCCAAAACCAAACCAGCGCUGGGGCUGCCGAGCAAGCCCAGCAGCCCCCAGCCCGGCGCCUCGGCUGAACUGGAGCGGGGCAGAGCCGCAGACCCAGACGCCGACGGCUUCAGCGCCCUGCAGGUGA